UGUGUGUAUGUGUGUGUGUGUGUGUGUGUGUGUGUGUGUAUGCACGCGCCACGCGCGCACGUCGAGUCGUCAUCGUCACUGAUCGCGGCAAAAUUUGCUCAUGCCAACAGCGCUUUAUCUAGUAAAGAGUAAGCUCGCGGAACACACUCUAAAGUACGCGCGCCACAAUUCUCAUCGUCGUCUGCAUCGGAGCAACAUUUCGAGGUUAGAUUGAUACUUUUAUAGCGGUUGCUAAAAUAAUAAAUGUAGUUGCAUAAAGCAAAAAGCAUUAAGUUUUAAAAAAAAAGGUUCGACUAGUUGAAGAAUGAACUAAAUCUUAAUCACGAAAUGGAGUAUCAUAACUUGGUCGAGGAUGUUGCCGACUUAGGUCUUAUCUACAUGAAAUACCAUCAAUCACUUUUACAGAAGAAAAAAAGGUUCAGACGAUGGUGGAGCAAACCAAUCAUUAAAUACAGGCUAUAAUAAUUACGAAUCUGUGUUUCGAUACUUCAAAUUAAAUGACAAAGAAGAUUUCCUAAAUUUUACAAGAAUGAAUGUUCCAACUUUUGAAUUUUUGUACAACCUCGUUAAAGGAAGCUUGAUAAAAAGAAAUAAAAGGCCACCGUUAACCCCCUGAGUUACGACUGAGUGUAACACUCAACUAUUUAGCACAUGGGGACUCGAUAAUGAAGACUAAAUGGUUUAAUGCAAUUGGUUUAUCUACAGUGAAAACAAUCAUUCCAGAAGUGUGUAAUGUUAUUUGCAAUGCAUUAGUACCUUUGUUUCUAAUGUUUCCAACGGUGAAUCAAUUUCAAACAAUUGCAAGAGAAUUUCAAAUGGACUUGGAUUUCCCAAAUUGCAUAGGGGCUAUAGACGGAAGGCAUUGUAGGAUUAAGCAGCUACCUAAUAGUCAUGCAUUGUUUUAUAAUUAUAAGAAAUUUUAUAGUAUAAUACUAAUGGCUAGCUGUGAUUCCAAAAAAAAGGUUUAUUUGGGCAAACGUAGGUGACUACGGUUCUUUCAAUGAUGCAGGGGUUUUCAACAACAGUGACUUCGGGCGUGGCCUUGCUAAUGGUGAAAUUGACUUGCCACGACCUCAACCUUUGCCAAAUUCUAAUAUUGUCUGUCCAUAUUUUUUGAUUGGGGAUGGAGGUUUCGGCUUGCACAGAUACCUAAUGAAACCUUAUCUGAGAAAUAAUGAUUUUCCACAGCCACAGAGAAUUUAUAAUUAUCGCUUGAGCCAUGCUAGAAGGGUUAUAGAGUGUGCGUUUGGGGAGUUAUCACAAAGAUGGUUGAUUAAUGAAAGGUGUUUAGCUUGGCAAUUAUCUACUACUGAAAAAA